UACGUAGGGUGCGAGCGUUGUCCGGAAUUAUUGGGCGUAAAGGGCUCGUAGGCGGUUUGUCGCGUCGGGAGUGAAAACCAGGUGCUUAACACCUGGCUUGCUUUCGAUACGGGCAGACUAGAGGUAUUCAGGGGAGAACGGAAUUCCUGGUGUAGCGGUGAAAUGCGCAGAUAUCAGGAGGAACACCGGUGGCGAAGGCGGGUCUCUGGGCAGUAACUGACGCUGAGGAGCGAAAGCGUGGGGAGCGAACAGG
rnacentral:rRNA from 1 species